rnacentral:rRNA from 1 species
UAGGUGGGAGGCUUUGAAGUGUGGACGCCAGUCUGCAUGGAGCCGACCUUGAAAUACCACCCUUUAAUGUUUGAUGUUCUAACGUUGACCCGUAAUCCGGGUUGCGGACAGUGUCUGGUGGGUAGUUUGACUGGGGCGGUCUCCUCCUAAAGAGUAACGGAGGAGCACGAAGGUUGGCUAAUCCUGGUCGGACAUCAGGAGGUUAGUGCAAUGGCAUAAGCCAGCUUGACUGCGAGCGUGACGGCGCGAGCAGGUGCGAAAGCAGGUCAUAGUGAUCCGGUGGUUCUGAAUGGAAGGGCCAUCGCUCAACGGAUAAAAGGUACUCCGGGGAUAACAGGCUGAUACCGCCCAAGAGUUCAUAUCGACGGCGGUGUUUGGCACCUCGAUGUCGGCUCAUCACAUCCUGGGGCUGAAGUAGGUCCCAAGGGUAUGGCUGUUCGCCAUUUAAAGUGGUACGCGAGCUGGGUUUAGAACGUCGUGAGACAGUUCGGUCCCUAUCUGCCGUGGGCGCUGGAGAACUGAGGGGGGCUGCUCCUAGUACGAGAGGACCGGAGUGGACGCAUCACUGGUGUUCGGGUUGUCAUGCCAAUGGCACUGCCCGGUAGCUAAAUGCGGAAGAGAUAAGUGCUGAAAGCAUCUAAGCACGAAACUUGCC